GCCGGCUGUGGUAGGCACUAGCCUUUGGCUCCCCACACCACACGUUGCCUCUCUCCCUCCGCUCUCCAUCAGGUACAUGAAGGAAUAUAUAUGGUUGCUAGCUUCAUGCAUAUGCUACUCUUUAUUUGUUUUAUUUUUAUAACGAUGCAAAUUCUUGUUAAUGGUUAAUGUAAAUCAGCAGUGAAUUGCUGGCAAAUAAUGUGAUGCCCUACAAAAAACAAACAUUUUGUAAACAGGUAAACAAAUAAUGUGACGCAGUUUCUAUUUUUUAUUUUGCUAACGCCCAGCCAACUGAGAAUUUCGUACAAGUCUCCACAAUCUUAUGAGCAUAUGUAUUUCCUUUUGACUAAUAUAUGGAAGUAAUUCUUUGCAUCAAAGAAAUUGUGAAACAACACACAGUAAUUUUAGAGAUUUUAGAAUGCAUGGUGGGCUAGUUUGUUAGUUCAAGAGUUAAGUUGUACACAUAAAGCUUUAAAGCAGUCGAGCCUUAGUGAAUAUCUACACCAGUAAGUUUUUUUCUUCAUGCCAGAAAUACUUAACAGUGUAGAUACUCCCUAAGGCUUGGUGGUAUUGCAUUGUUGUGGCCACAUGUCACUUGAGCAUCUUUGAGCCUCCCAUCGCCAAUCAGCAAUGUUUAUAGCUCCAAGCAAAAGUAGGUUUAUGCAAAAGGAUGUGUGUGCUACAUGAUCACCCUUUUUCUCGACAAGUAUAUACACGCUAACGUACUACUCUUUAUUAGUUGGAAAUUUAUAACCAUACGAAUUUUCGUCUAUGAACGCUCGGCAAUGGGCCAAGGUGGGAGCCAUAGGGUUAGCAAGUCUGAGUAGUUGGCUUGCUUCUGUUUGGGCUGAGCAACCCAUGUCUUCUGCUUCGGUCAUCACCUACAUGUUGGCUUGCGCACGAUUUCUUGUGCAACCAUUCCUUGUACUUCCUUGUGAAUUAUCAUAUGUGACUUAGUAUGUCCCGUAAUUCAGCAGCCGAUGCAAUUUCUUAUUUUUGGUUUUGCUAAUUGCCACUCAACUCCGUACAAGAUUCCAGAAUUUUAUGAGCUUCUACAUUUUUCUUUGAAAAAAUGAUACGCAAUCAGUUCUUUUAAUAAAAAGCUGAGAAAAAGAUAUGCAAUAGUUGUGGACAUUUUAGAAUCACGAGUAAGUUUGUUGCUUCGAACUGAAGAUUUACACCGGCAAAAGACAAGAUGUACACAUAAAGCUUUAAGCACUAAAGCCUUAGUGAAUAUCUACACUAGUAAUAUUUUCUUCAUGUUGGAAAUGCUUAGCAUUGUAGAUACUCCCUAAGGCUUGGGUGGUAUUGUGUUGUUGUGGACACUUGAUCAUAUUUGGCCUCCCAUCAACAAUGUAUAGCUUGAAGAAAAAUAGCUGAUGAUGACACCACUACUACAGUUACACACAUAGCCCACAUUACAACAUAUAUGGGACCGACUACUAGAGCUUGUGAACGCCAACUAAAUUAUCAGGUACUUUCGUUUCUUGGUCAUAACUCUAGUGUUCAUUACAAUAUGAUGCUGCGUAAGUUGGAUACAUUUGUGUUGUUAAGGAAUGAAGCCCCUAGCAUGGACAAGAGGGACGAACACUGGAGCAUGAUCAAGCAUAGAGAUGAAGGUGCAUAUGAAGGGAAUAAGAGCAGAGUUUCUAGUGGAUGACAUACAAGGACAUGGACGAAAUGUACAAACGGUAUUUUAUAAAUUUCGUCCAUAGCUUAUUUUAGGUGUUGCACCACCUUAUUUUUGCGCCAAGCCCAUGUAGUUUUGAAAUACUACUUCAUAGGUUAUUUUUAGAGUCUGUAUUGUAGGGGAAACAACUCAGGAGGGAUUUGCGUCCCACCUUACGAAAGGUGGAUGAAGUUUUCUCUCCGUUCCCCUCUUAAUACAGCCCUUACGGCGUCGUUUAGACUUGGGUUUUGUUUAAAUUAUAGUUUUCCAUGGCUGCAACUCAUGCGCUUUGUUUGCGUCCAAUGACUACGUCAAGACAUCACAUAGCCCUACACUUUGAUAAUUAAUUAAUUUUUCUUA